UCCAACCCCUGGUCUACAGCCUAGUGUUCCUACGGGAUCUUCCAAUAGUCCAGGUAUAACACUACCUAAUAACAGUCUAUGUGUAUUAUCUUAUGGUUUAUAUUCCACCAGGUUGAACAGUCUGUGUAUUAUCUUCCGGUUCCACCAGGUAACAGUUUGUGUAUUAUCUUCUGUUUCCACCAGGUAACAGUCUGUGUAUUAUCUUCUGGUUCCACCAGGUAACAGUCUGUGUAUUAUCUUCCGGUUCCACCAGGUAACAGUCUGUGUAUUAUCUUCCGGUUCCACCAGGUAACAGUCUGUGUAUUAUCUUCCGGUUCCACCAGGUAACAGUCUGUGUAUUAUCUUCCGGUUCCACCAGGUAACAGUCUGUGUAUUAUCUUCCGGUUCCACCAGGUAACAGUCUGUGUAUUAUCUUCCGGUUCCACCAGGUAACAGUCUGUGUAUAAUCUUCUGGUUCCACCAGGUAACAGUCUGUGUAUAAUCUUCUGGUUCCACCAGGUAACAGUCUGUGUAUAAUCUUCUGGUUCCACCAGGUAACAGUCUGUGUAUAAUCUUCUGGUUCCACCAGGUAACAGUCUGUGUAUUAUCUUCUGGUUCCACCAGGUAACAGUCUGUGUAUUAUCUUCUGGUUCCUCCAGGUAACAGUCUGUGUAUUAUCUUCUGGUUCCUCCAGGUAACAGUCUGUGUAUUAUCUUCUGGUUCCUCCAGGUAAC